AUGCUAGUACGGUUGGCUGACGUCACAUUUUAGUGCCAUCUGGUCUUCAAAAAAGAAAAGCUUGGACUAGACGGGUAUGGUGUCGCGCUGUGAUAUUUGCUAUCAAGUUGUCCGUAUCAACAAUAGCAUGGCAGCGGAAGAAGCCAUUUUUCAAGCUACUAAUCUUCUCGAGAGCUGCCAUAUUGGCUUCAUCGGUACUAUAGUACGGCCAUUUUGCAACGCCCAACGGAUCCUGUGAACACGUUAAUAUUAUGCAAUUAACAAUUAAUUUGUGUUAUGAUGUGAAUACAAUUGACAAUGAAAUUGACAAAUGCUCAUGCGACAUCAGGUUGAGAUAGCAGGCAACAGGUGGCGUUUCAGUGAGUUUAUCACCGGUGAGUUUGUUGCAUUAUUAUAUAUCCAUUUUAUAUAUUUAAAUAAAUUUGUUUAUGAGCUAUUAACGGAAAACACUGACCAAUAAGAGGGCGCGAACUACAGGAUCAGUCGCACGAGCGCAACGUGCUCCGACUGUAGAGUUUGAAAGAGGAAGGGGGGGGGCUCCGUACCGCGAUCGAAUCAAUGA